rnacentral:rRNA from 1 species
UACGUAGGCAGCAAGCGUUGUUCGGAAUUACUGGGCGUAAAGAGUGUGUAGGCGGUGCUCCAAGUCUGGUGUGAAAUCUCCCGGCCUAACUGGGAGGGGUCGUCCGAGACUGGCCGGCUUGAGGCUGGCAGAGGUAGGUGGAAUUCCUGGUGUAGUGGUGAAAUGCGUAGAGAUCAGGAGGAACACCGGUGGCGAAGGCGGCCUACUGGGCCAGCACUGACGCUGAGGCGCGAAAGCUCGGGGAGCGAACGGG